UACGUAGGGGGCAAGCGUUGUCCGGAUUUACUGGGCGUAAAGGGCGCGUAGGCGGCGCGGUAAGUCACUUGUGAAAUCUCUGAGCUUAACUCAGAACGGCCAAGUGAUACUGCAGUGCUAGAGUGUGGAAGGGGCAAUCGGAAUUCUUGGUGUAGCGGUGAAAUGCGUAGAUAUCAAGAGGAACACCUGAGGUGAAGACGGGUUGCUGGGCCAACACUGACGCUGAGGCGCGAAAGCCAGGGGAGCAAACGGG
rnacentral:rRNA from 1 species